rnacentral:rRNA from 1 species
UACGUAGGGUGCGAGCGUUUGUCCGGAAUUAUUGGGCGUAAAGAGCUUGUAGGCGGUUUGUCGCGUCUGCCGUGAAGCCCAGGGCUUAACCCUGGGUCUGCGGUGGUACGGCAGACUAGAGUGUGGUAGGGGAGACUGGAAUUCCUGGUGUAGCGGUGAAAUGCGCAGAUAUCAGGAGGAACACCGAUGGCGAAGGCAGGUCUCUGGGCCACUACUGACGCUGAGAAGCGAAAGCAUGGGAGCAAACAGG